rnacentral:rRNA from 1 species
GCCUAAUACAUGCAAGUCGAACGCUUCUUUCCUCCCGAGUGCUUGCACUCAAUUGGAAAGAGGAGUGGCGGACGGGUGAGUAACACGUGGGUAACCUACCCAUCAGAGGGGGAUAACACUUGGAAACAGGUGCUAAUACCGCAUAACAGUUUAUGCCGCAUGGCAUAAGAGUGAAAGGCGCUUUCGGGUGUCGCUGAUGGAUGGACCCGCGGUGCAUUAGCUAGUUGGUGAGGUAACGGCUCACCAAGGCCACGAUGCAUAGCCGACCUGAGAGGGUGAUCGGCCACACUGGGACUGAGACACGGCCCAGACUCCUACGGGAGGCAGCAGUAGGGAAUCUUCGGCAAUGGACGAAAGUCUGACCGAGCAACGCCGCGUGAGUGAAGAAGGUUUUCGGAUCGUAAAACUCUGUUGUUAGAGAAGAACAAGGACGUUAGUAACUGAACGUCCCCUGACGGUAUCUAACCAGAAAGCCACGGCUAACUACGUGCCAGCAGCCGCGGUAAUACGUAGGUGGCAAGCGUUGUCCGGAUUUAUUGGGCGUAAAGCGAGCGCAGGCGGUUUCUUAAGUCUGAUGUGAAAGCCCCCGGCUCAACCGGGGAGGGUCAUUGGAAACUGGGAGACUUGAGUGCAGAAGAGGAGAGUGGAAUUCCAUGUGUAGCGGUGAAAUGCGUAGAUAUAUGGAGGAACACCAGUGGCGAAGGCGGCUCUCUGGUCUGUAACUGACGCUGAGGCUCG